UACGUAGGGGGCAAGCGUUGUCCGGAUUUAUUGGGCGUAAAGAGCGUGUAGGCGGUCUGGUAGGUCCGUUGUGAAAACUCGAGGCUCAACCUCGAGACGCCGAUGGAAACCCUCAGACUAGAGUCCGGAAGAGGAGAGUGGAAUUCCUGGUGUAGCGGUGAAAUGCGCAGAUAUCAGGAGGAACACCGAUGGCGAAGGCAGGUCUCUGGGCCACUACUGACGCUGAGAAGCGAAAGCAUGGGGAGCGAACAGG
rnacentral:rRNA from 1 species